AAAUCCAGAAGUGAACUGCCUAAAGUAAAAACGCACUAGAUCUCAUGAGAUGUAUGCACAACUCAUCCAUGUCCGAAAUUGAGAUGAUGAAAAAUGAAGCUGCAUUGGCGCAGAAGUUCAUACUGGAAGUGCAUCACUUUCAACAAAAAGAAGCUAUUCUUUAGCACAGAUGAUUGAAGUGAAAGCCAUACAAUGAGUUUUAACAUAGACAAGGAUGAUUAAAGUGAUUAUAAGUUCAGACCUUUGUCGCCCAUUUUCACAUGCUUCCUGAGCUGCGGCUGCUUCCGCAGAAAAAGAAACAGUCUCUUGCUUCAUCUCCUAUUCCUUACGCUCUCCAGAAUUAUCUCCAUGAGAGGCCAAGCGCCUCCUCACCUUCACAAGCCUUGGCCUCGAAAUUUGACCGUUUGCUUCGUGCUGCUCAUGGGGAUGCACCAGAGCUAUGCUUUCCAGCAACGCCGGCGAAUGUCAACGCCGGAGUCAUCAAAUCAGACGGUUGGGGAUUGAUUGAUUGAGAGCGUGAUGCUUGAUCAAAUCCUGGUUUCUUUUGCGAUUGUGUGAUGGUUCGGAUUUGGGUUUUAGAAGUUGGAAGGAAGGGGAAAGCAAACGGAAGUUAUUUUCAGAAGGGUCACGGAUCACAAUAGAGCAGGUUGUAUCAAUGAUCCUCUCAUGCCACUUUCAAAAAAGUUCACUUUUGUUUUCAUUUUUCUCUUUAAUUUUACUUUAUUUCGUUUUCAUUUCUUCUUCUUUGUUUCCUUUUUUUUAACUUUUUUUUUCACGUAAUGUUUUAAUUAAAAUUAUAAGUUAAACCAAAAUUGUUAUUUAGUUCGGUUUGAUUUCUGCAAUUUGUAAAGGGAAAAUGACACACCCCGACCUAGAUUAAGACAUGUUGACCGUCACGUGAAGGUAACGUCGCUAUGUGCACAAUGCGGAAGCAAUAAUGAUAUACAGAAAUGCGAAUAAAUAAAAUCAAACCAACUAGAGCACUAGAUAAGGUAAGGUGCAAGACGAGAAUAAGUGUGACCACACAUAACCAGAGCAUAAGUAGCCUAAACGCAGUCCAGCGAGACGAAUACUAAUUAUAUAGUACCAAAGAUGGUCCAACACUAGUGAUAAUCUAUCAGAGUUGCCGUGAAUUCCUCGUGAGUCACCAACAAGCACUCCUACCUAAAACCUAGAAGGGUGCAAAACAGAAAGUGUGAGAGAGCAAAAACAAAUCUUUUCAAAACCAAUUCAUUUAUCAAAAGUUCUAACCUUUCGCCGUAAAACUUGUAUAAAUUCCCAGAAAAUAGAACAUAUAGACCUAUCUCAAAACUAUGCUCAAAAUAGUGAAAAUCAUAGUAUACCAUGCCAUAUAUCUCAAAGUAACAAAAUAAGUAACUCAGGUGAAAUAAUAUCAUGAAAUAUAACAUAUCAGCCGGAUCCACCUAAAAUGGCAUGUACGACUGAAUCUAUAGCUCAACAAGUAUGCCUGCAUAUGAGUCAGAAUCACCUAAUGUGGUCUAUACGACAUGACUGGGUGUAAAUAAACACGCUCUAAUGCUACGAUCAGGUGAAGACUGUGCGAAUAAUCACGGGCCACUUACAAGUCGCAACCACCUAUAGUGGUUUGUACGAUAGGACUAUGCACCUAACUUGGAUCCAAGGUGAGUGUAUGGUGCGGGAGGUGAACAUCACGUGAAGGACUGUGCCCUAACCACGGGCGGGAGCACUAACACCGGGGUGCAGGUUUAUGAGCUCUCAACACAUCUCUCAGGAUCAUCAAUUCACGAUAACAAUCUACAACUCACCUGAUACUUACUUGAGCAUCCACCGCGUCAAAUCACAUAUGUAUAUACCAUACAAUUUCAUAGUCUAAGUAUAAAUCAAUAAGCAUGGCAUUUCAAAAUAUAAUUUCAUUUAAACACAUUUUCUGGGAAAAAUACCAAGUAUAUAAGUAUAUACUGAAAACCAAAAGCCCACUCACUAAUAUGUGGAAGGGUCGUAACCCCCGAGCCUAGCUUGACUACGCUCGUCCUCAGGAUAGGUCUCACUUAUAUGCGAAACAACUAUAUAAACGUUAUUUAAAGCACAUAACCAAAACUAGGUAAUAACUUCUCAUACAUUGCUCAAUUGGGGUGUUUGAAUAUACCAACGUGAUCUACUUAACCCCACGAACAUCCCCAUAUUUUAAGAAAAUUUUUCCGAUGUCCUACGUGCAAGCACAUGCCUGGCACAUUGACGGAUUCCUUAACAGCGUUAGGGAAUAUUCCGUUAAAUAAAAGUAUAUGCCGUAAAAGAUACCUGACGC
rnacentral:lncRNA from 1 species